CGACGUAGUUGGGUUUACUGUUGGAGUUUGAACUUCUCCUGGCGUUGUCGCUGGGUUUACAAUUGGGGCGUCAUCCAACUGAGUGAAAUGUACUGAAGGAGAGAAGAUCUUUCUGUCUUCUUCACUCUGCAGAGAGAUCGACCUAUCGACCUAUCAACCUGAUAUGCUUCAACAUUUCAAGCGUAACUCAACUAGACAAGACACGUACUCUCAGCUGGAAAUUCUAAGGUUCGAAUUCUUCUACUCCCAUAGAAGAAGUAUACUUAAAAACAAACUUAUCUUUUACUUGCUUGCUCUUCGAUUCUCAAACUAUAACAGUCUAACAAUGAGCAUGAAAAUGGCUACAAAAGAAACAAGCGUAAAUCGACCUUUACCUGAGAAGAGUAAGAACAAUAGUGCCAAAUUCCUGAGAAUGUUGGAACCCAUCACUCUAAGUUGUCUGUGAUUUGCUCUUCUGGGAUUUAGUAGUAAUAAUGAGAGAGAAGCCAAGCUUUAAUAAAACACAUCAAAUGAGAGAGCAGACCAAAACUGUUGCUGAAUAGUACUGAUUAUCUUUUCACUGUAAAUUAUUUUUAUUCAUAAAACUUAAGAAUCAAAGCUUUCUUGGAUCACCAAGAAGAAAAAGAAUAUAAGAAAACUUGAGAAAGCAGGCAAUGAAGUAGUUGGAUACCACAAGCAAUAGAAAGAGCCCACAAAAAAAAAAAAAAAAAAAAAAAAGGCAAAAUAGCAAUCUAUGGGGUUGGUUUAUGUUUUCAGAACAUCUUUUUUUGGAAAUCCUAAGGUUGUGAAUAUUGAUUCCCGUCGAAGCGAAACGGUUUGAGUUUUGUGAAAGAAGCCGAAGUCCCUUAUCGGAUUUGAACCAAUGAUCUACGCCUUAUUGAGUUAAAAAGGCCCAUUUGAUUCAAGUUCUGAACGAAGUCGUUCCUUCGUAAUUUUUCGAGCACCAUUUUUUAAGACGAAAAUAGGAAGACGAAGUAGUUAAGUGAAACUUGGGAGUCAGUGUGGAUAUUUGAUUCAAUUUCUGAACGAAGUCGUUCCUUCGUAAUUUUUCGAGCACCAUUUUUUAUGAACACUAAGUAGUCAAGUGAAACGUGGGAGUCAGAGUGGAUAUUUGAUUCAAUUUUUGUACGAAGACGUUCUUUCGUAAUUUUUCGAGCACCGUUUUUGAAGAAAAAAGGAACACAAAAUAGUAAAGUGAAACUUAGGAGUCGAUAUUUGAUUCAAUUUUUGAAUGGUUCCUUCGUAAUUUUUUUAGAACAAUUUUUGAAGAUGAAAAUACAAAAUAGUCGGAGUGAGUGUGGAGCAAGGGAAUUUUAUGUUUUUGGUCUGUAAUGAAGAAUAUUGUCUCCUAACUUUGCUGGAUGAUGGAUUCAAGAAUAUAAUCUUCAAACAUUCAAAUGGGAAUAAAUUUUGAUACCUUGUUAUAAAGAAUAUGCAGAGCCACAUGCUUUUAAUU